UCUACUUCCAUCGAUAUUCUAAAGUAUGCAUUUGAUGAACUCUAUGCUAUCCCAUGAUGCCACAUGAGAGAAUUCAUAAAUAGGAGUGAAGCAAUGCAACUGAUGCGGGUAGAUCAUGUGAUAAUGACAAAUGGUGGAUGUAGUACAUUCAAGCACCAUUCAUACUACUUGCAUUCAUAUGUAUAGAUCGUACUUUUCUAAUGGUUGUGUAGUAAAUUUAAAUUCAAAUGUAGUACUUUCUCUAGUAGUAGGCAAUUUUGAAUACAACCUUUGAAUGGUUUUAUGUGUUUAUUUUUAAUCUAAAAGACUAUAACUAUUCACUGCAAUUAUAUGAAUCACCAAGGAUCACAGAUUCAGCUCAAAAUCUCCUUUAAUGUUCUACUAAAGAAAAAGUCGCCAUCUUGGAUGACGUGUGGGUGCUUGUGUGGUCCAUAACAGCUAAGUAUCUCUGCUGUCUUGACUGCGGCCAAGGACAGCCGAGAUCAGAUCUGAGCAGCCUGGACUGCAGCCAAGAGCAGCAUUUUCCUCCCCAUUCUCCGUCUAGAUCCUUCAAAAGCUCCUAGACUCCCACUAAAUGACAAUCCACUGCUUUUAUCAAAGUGGGAACUUGUCUCAACCCACUUCGAUGCAGCUUACCUGGCAGGAAUCAUUUGUUCAAGGACUGUUAUCAGAGUGAGAAGCGGCUGUGGAUGGACUAACCGAGAUACAAAGCCAGUGUGUGUACAGUACCUGGGCAACUGUAGACAGUUUACAGAAUCAGGACGAUCCAAAGCCCCGUUAUCCUCCAUGCCAAAGUAGCUGCAGUUCUUGGCCAGAAACUGCCAGUCUUUCCAUUCUGAGCUCCCGACUGUCUUCCUUUGAAUGCGGACCGCUUCGGGCUGAGCAUUGAGGAAUUGGAGUAUCACGUAGAAAACCUGUACAGGAAGCAUGCGAAAUUGACAGAGGGUGAAAUAUGCAUGAAAUACUAAACAGCAAUGGAUUAUCUAUUAUCUGCACAGCAACAGUCAAUGCUCCGCUGCCUCCUAAAGCACGUCGGCGCUUUGAAGAACAGCUUGAAGACCCGCUUUACUCUUCCCUCUCUCCCUCUGUGGCUUCAUUUGGAGGAGUUUGUUGAGAAACUGGUUGCAGCUUUGACUAAGUGGACACUUCAAAGUCUGUGUGGUGGUGUGUUUUAUCUGCUAUUGAGAGGAGAGACUGAGGCAGAGCUGCAUAAAUCCUCUGCUUCUUUACAGCUGGACUCUCUGCUUGGCUUGGCUUAGCCACAUGGAUGACUGGGCGACUCACCCAGACACACACAAAGGACUUUAGGUCGGCUUUAGUGUAUUCAAAUGGAAAAGACGCUACCCAGUGUCUGGAUUUGAGAGAGCAGCCACACAAAUUCACAACACUGGGUUGAAGCUUACUUUAAACCUGUGGUUUACAGCCAGGAGGCCAAGGCCCACUAGAGGGCAUCUGAAAACCUCUUGAGGAGUUUAAAAUAAGUAAAUCAAUAAAAUAAAGAUGUACAAGUU
rnacentral:lncRNA from 1 species